rnacentral:misc_RNA from 1 species
GGAAGGAUCAUUACCGAAUUGUCAACACGAGUUGUUGCUGGUCCUCAAACGGGGGCAUGUGCACGCUCUGUUUGCACAUCCACUCACACCUGUGCACCCUCCAUAGUUCUGUAGCUUGGGGGCUUUGUCCCCCCUGCCAUGGUUCUAUGUAUUUACACACACACACACUGUAUAAAGUCUCAUGGAAUGUAUGCCGCGUUUAACGCAAUAUAAUACAACUUUCAGCAACGGAUCUCUUGGCUCUCGCAUCGAUGAAGAACGCAGCGAAAUGCGAUAAGUAAUGUGAAUUGCAGAAUUCAGUGAAUCAUCGAAUCUUUGAACGCACCUUGCGCCCUUUGGCCAUUCCGAAGGGCAUGCCUGUUUGAGUAUCAUGAACACCUCAACUCUCAUGGCUUGCCGUGAUGAGCUUGGACUUUGGGGGUACUGCUGGCCUGUGGUUGGCUCCUCUCAAAUGAAUCAGCUUGCCAGUGUUUGGUGGCAUCACAGGUGUGAUAACUAUCUACGCUUGUGGUUUUCCACCAGGUAACCUUCAGUGACGGAGGUUCGCUGGGGCUCACAGAUGUCUCUCUUCUAUGGAGAC